UACGUAGGGUGCGAGCGUUGUCCGGAUUUACUGGGCGUAAAGGGCGUGCAGGCGGUCUGUUAAGUGCAGGGUGAAAGCUCCCGGCUCAACUGGGAGAGGUCCUUGCAUACUGGCGGACUUGAGGGGGGUAGAGGAAAGUGGAAUUCCCGGUGUAGUGGUGAUAUGCGUAGAUAUCGGGAGGAACACCUGUGGCGAAGGCGGCUUUCUGGGCCCUACCUGACGCUGAGACGCGAAAGCGUGGGGAGCGAACCGG
rnacentral:rRNA from 1 species